AGGAUUAUAGUUAAUAAUAACAUCUGGGUUGCAUUCAGAAAGUACUUUAGGGUUAAUCUUU
rnacentral:tRNA from 1 species